rnacentral:rRNA from 1 species
GAUGAACGCUGGCGGCGUGCUUAACACAUGCAAGUCGAACGGAAAGGCCUCAGCUUGCUGGGGUGCUCGAGUGGCGAACGGGUGAGUAACACGUAGGUGAUCUGCCUUUCACUUCGGGAUAAGCUUGGGAAACUGGGUCUAAUACCGGAUAUUCACGGCACCGUGGUUGGUGUGGUGGAAAGCUUUUGCGGUGGGAGAUGAGCUUGCGGCCUAUCAGCUUGUUGGUGGGGUAAUGGCCUACCAAGGCGGCGACGGGUAGCCGGCCUGAGAGGGUGUGCGGCCACAUUGGGACUGAGAUACGGCCCAGACUCCUACGGGAGGCAGCAGUGGGGAAUUUUGCACAAUGGGCGGAAGCCUGAUGCAGCGACGCCGUGUGGGGGAUGAAGGCCUUCGGGUUGUAAACUCCUUUCGUCAGGGACGAAGUUUGUUUGACGGUACCUGGAUAAGAAGCACCGGCUAACUACGUG